rnacentral:tRNA from 1 species
GCCUGGGUGGCUCAGUUGGUUAAGCACCUGACUUUGGCUCAGGUCAUGAUCUCAAGGUUUGUGAGUUCGAGCCCCACGUCGGGCU